rnacentral:rRNA from 1 species
GGAGCUGAUAUCAGGCACGCCCAAAACAUCUAGCCAUGCCACACCCAUAAGGGUAUUCAGCAGUGAUUAACAUUAAAAAUAAACGUCAGUUUGAUUUAGCUAAUGAAAUCAGAGCCGGCCAAUCUGGUGCCAGCCGCCGCGGUUACACCAAGUGGCUCAAAUUGAUUCGGCGUAAAGCGUGAUUAAAGUGAGGUUAAACUUAAACUAAGCCGUAAAACGCUUGCUACUAAGAAACCCUAACCGAAAGACACCCCAACACAUCUACUUGAACUCACGACAGCUAGAAUACAAACUGGGAUUAGAUACCCCACUAUGCCUAGCCGUAAACUUUAACCCACAUCGCCAGGGAACUACGAGCAAAGCUUAAAACCCAAAGGACUUGACGGUACCCCACAUCCCCCUAGAGGAGCCUGUCCUAUAAUCGAUAACCCCCGUUAAACCUCACCACUCUUAGCAGCCUGUAUACUUCCGUCGUCAGCCCACCGCAUGAGCGAGUGGGCCUAAUGUCAACACGUCAGGUCAAAGUGCAGCAAAUAAAGUGGUAAGAGAUGGGCUACACUCUCUAACCUAGAAAAAACGAAAGAUCACAUGAAACAAAAGGUGGAUUUAGCAGUAAAAUGAAAUUAGAAUAUCCAUUUUAACCCGGCACUAGGGUAUGUACACACCGCCCGUCACCCUCUUC